GAUGAAGAACGUAGCGAAAUGCGAUACUUGGUGUGAAUUGCAGAAUCCCGUGAACCAUCGAGUCUUUGAACGCAAGUUGCGCCCGAAGCCAUUAGGCCGAGGGCACGCCUGCCUGGGUGUCACACGUCGUUGCCCCCCCAUCUACUCCUUCGGGAUUGCGGGGGGCGGAUGAUGGCCUCCCGUGCGCCUCGUCGCGCGGUUGGCAUAAAUGCCAAGUCCUCGGCGACGCACGCCACGACAAUCGGUGGUUGCGAAACCUCGGUUGCCCGUCAUGUGCGGUCGUCGCGCAUCGAGGGCUCGAAAAAAUUGCCGGGCUCCGGCUCGGCUUUCAACGCGACCCCAGGUCAGGCGGGGUUACCCGCUGAAUUUAAGCAUAUCAAUAAGCGGAGGA
rnacentral:misc_RNA from 1 species